rnacentral:tRNA from 1 species
GGGCCGGUAGCUUAGCAUGGUUAGAGCGGCGGACUCUUAAUCCGCAGGUCGGGGGUUCGAAU